rnacentral:misc_RNA from 1 species
UGUGGGAGGGGGCUUGCCCCCGAUGGCGCCAUGUCAGGCACAGAACAUGUGACUGAUAUACCGUCAUCGGGGGCAAGCCCCCUCCCACA